rnacentral:rRNA from 1 species
AUGGACUUCCCUCGCACCUAUAAAUAUCAUCUCUGGAUACAUCCCACUCCCCUACAUCAUCACGCUCAAAAGCCCUCUCUACUUCGAUCCCUCCUGCGGGCAAUUGCUCGCCGGAAUCCGACAAAGCAUCGAAGUCCGACGACGAUUCCGUCGCGACCGAGCCGGAGCGCGCUGUUUUUCGUCAUCGCAUCCGCCGGAGCUCCGCCCAACUCCGGCGAGACCUCACGGUUGCCCGAGGACAGGGCCGAACCCUCCGUGGUUAUCCUCGAGCUUGCACGGGCCUCCUCUCCCGCGUACGCCGCUUGUACUACGCCGGAGCCCUCACCGACGCCGAACCCGAGCACCGCCGCCGUCUUCUCCAUCGCCGGCGACCUCAAGUCCGAUUGCGACGAGUGCGAAGGUGAAUUCUACGAGGAGGUAGAACCUUGUGACUACGAAACCAAAGAUCUUGACAGAUUAAGAGACGAUAGGGUUAUGGUCUACACUCAACGAGCCCAGUGGCGUUGA